CCGGAUAAGUGCAGCAAUAUAUAGCUGACCUCAAGGCCUCUGCGAUGAUCGUUGGUACAAUGGUAUGACCCUCCCUGAGAGCUCUCAUUUCCAUGACGACGACGAUAUCUAGCUCAUCCAUGUACUGCGGCAUGUAGACGUAUGACAAUACGCAAAGAAGAAGUACAUCUACUCUGGCGGAACGCCAAUGAUCCUCCGGUGUGGUGAAAUCCCCGGAAUGCCAUGCAUAGCUGUCCUCAGAGCCAAACCUGUCAAAUAGGAAACGCUGGGAUAUAACAUGGCCGGAUGUAAUCUCAUCCUGCACCACUCUGCGCCUCAAUCCUGUGAGAGUCAUGAACUAUCUGC
rnacentral:lncRNA from 1 species